ensembl:lncRNA
CCUGGCCGCCGCGGCAGGGGACGGCUCGUGCCCGCGCGGGUAUAAAAGCGUGCCCCGCACGCUGAGCCCGACACUGGGGCGGGUGGCGGAGAGAGCGGCUCCGAGCUGAGAAGAAUGGCUUUUUUUUCUUCUUCUUCUUCUUCUUUUUUUUUUUUUUCUUCUUCUUUAUAAAAGUUUUGCUGUUGUUGUUAUUCCUUCCAAGCCCCAGCGCGAGGACGUUGGCCAGGAGUCCGCCGCGGCGAGAGGAAGAGCCAAGGCCGGCUGUUAGGAGCCAGGGGGAAGCGCGUCCCCCGCCCCGCGCCUCCUCAGCCUCCUUGGUGCAGUGGUUCUUAACAGUUCAACAGUUCUCUAUCAUAAUUGUGAAAUGUUUAGGACCACUUGACCAGCGAGGCCCGGGCAUCGGGCGGCCGACGGAGAGCUGCAGCGCCGCGGGCCGGCGGUGGGGACGGGGCUGAGCCCCGCGGGAGGCUGCGGCUCAUGGGGGGGCUGCGGGGACAGGAGGUGAAGGGACAGUACGUGUGGUACCCGUGGGGGUACUGAGAGGGGAAAAAAAUAGGCUUGUAGUGCGCGAAUCGAGGGCUGUAAUGCCUUUAAAGGAGCAGGUAGGAUCAGUCUGGCUCUGUGGGAGGCGUUAUGCUAUGUUUAAUGUAUAACCAUUUGUUCUUUUUAUUUUUACCCAUACAUCCAAACUUAAAGGAAAACUCAUAUUGGCUUUGACCAUCAGCGUUGCAUUUCAGAGGUUUACCACCUCUUCACUGGUGGUGUAUGUAAUCAACGUUGGCACUUCUUAUAUGCAAGUGUUUCUUUUUCCUUUUUGUCAAUACCCUUUUAUCAGGAGCAGUGCAAAGCCGAAGCUGUGGUGCUUUGUGCUGCAUUUCCCAUGUACGUUUUUACUGCAGGCAGUUAAAGGAUUAUCCAGACCUUCAUCAGAACAACUUCGGUGGGUUUAUAUUUUUAAGGCUGUUGCCUUGAUGGUCUGAUCAAAAGCUGCGGGCUUAUCCAAGCCUGAUGGACCUCCGAUAAAAGUGGGUCUUUCAGAACACAGUUGAAGAACUUUGAGUUUUUAAAAAGGAAUCUGGAAACAAUGGUUUUACCAACAGUUUGUUUUCCUUUUAGAAGGAUGACUUUGAAAAGUUUUUCCUAUUUCUUAUUCUUCUCACGCUUGCCCCACGAGCCAAAUAGAACUGGAAGCAUGUUUGGUUUUUUUUUGUUUUGUUUUGUUUUUAACCGUACAUCUAAAUAAAAUGGUCCACAGACUAAUUCAUGAAGUAGAAUUUCACUGCUUUAAACGUAACCUAAGAAAUGUAGUGAGCUUGCCUAUGUGUAUCUCUUAAGCCUUGAGUGUACCUAAGCCUUAAAUGUACGUAGUCUUGCCAUCACUUCUGUUUUCUUCAAAAAUACACUGUUUGGCAUGAAAUCGCCAAUUGGCACAGGAGUGUAAUAGCAGAUGAUUCUGGUCACGCUGAAGUCAAGAGUUCUGGUGUUGCCUGCAGUAGAGUUGUGAUCUUCAGAGGAGGAGCUCCCAGGAGAAGCUGAAAUAUUUAAGUAGUAGGCAAACCUGGUACGUAGAAGUGCUUCUCAGGGACAGUUUAGGCAAGGCGUGAUUCUUUUUUUUAACCUACUGCUGUAACUCAGAACAAGUUAGGCAAGGUUAAUUACAGUGUAAUAGAGUUUAAUUUAGCUGGGAAUGAGGGUAUGGUGGCUGCUAGCAGUGUUUCUCAAACUGUGAGGCUGGCCUCCUUAGGCAAGCUUACACAAGCCCAAGGCAAAUGGAAAAACACAUUUUUGUCUGGGACUUGGCAAAGGUAGAACCCCCACAUCUAUUAAUGAUGAUUCCUCAUUUGCCAAGGCAAAAAUUGAAAUGUUCUCCCAAGGAAAAGAUUAAUGACCUGUCCCACUUAAGGGUCGGAUGAUUCAAUACCAUUCUGUCUCAGUUCUAAUAUAUGGCACUCAUUAUCACAGUCUCUGAGCACCUCCCAAAUAUUUAAAAAGAAAUAACACUAGUGUUCUGUACACACAGUUCUCAUUAAAUUCAGUGGGUGUUGUGAAUGUUUAAACACAGCAAAGCAGAGCCCUGAAGAGUUGGAAAUAGACUUGCAAAACACGCUGUGGGUUUGAUCCACAGCUGGCUUGAAUCGGCCCAACUCUGUUAACUCGAGGGGAGUUGCACUCAUUUACAUCAGCUGGGGUUUGACCCAUUGCUUUUCUUCCCGGUGCCACCUCCAGCUGAUAAGCCUGAUCCUCCCAUCUGGCUCUAUCCAAACUUGUUGCUGAUUUCAGUGGCAGUGUGAGCUGUUUAAGGGAGGGUUUCCUGCUUCCAAGGUGUUAUCAUUGCUCUUCAUAGCGUGGUUUGAGAUGAUGUAAGUAGUGGCUUUUUCCCUCUGAGUCCAGUGUGCCCCUAAAAAGUUUAAGAUCUCUCUGAUAUGGGUAAGAAAAGCAUUUCUCUUUUGUUCAAGAAUGGCCUCAGUAACUCUGAAAGAACAAACCUGGUGGGGAGGUUCUGCUUAGGUGGAGCAAAGAGCUGAAUGUUCCUGCAGUGAGUUUGUCUGUGUCAUGGUGAAGCUAUAUUGUGCUUGUAUAGAAACUGAUGCUUUGUUAUAACCCUCCUAUGAAAUCAGAGAGCGUCACAACAUUUCUGAAGCAUCUCUUCGUGUGCUUUUUUUUUUUUUCCAGUGACGUUUUAAAGGUAUAGAAUAAGGUUGACUUCUAACCAUUGUUUUUCCUCUCUCAGACUGGGUGAACUCCUGAUGACAAAGCUUGUAGUUUUCAUAAGCUGGCAGUAAGCCAUGUCCAUGAACAAACAAACAAAAAUCCCCAACAAAUAUGCACUGAAAACCUCUGGGCAAACAGCCUUUCCUUGUGAUAUUGUCUAAGCGAAGCAAAAGCCUGAGGGUGUGAAGGGAGGAGACUUCUGCCAAACUUAGUCAAAUGUUGCCCCGCAGUUGCAGAGCACGUCUUUAGCUCUUACUAUUAACAUUGCAGACAGCAUUUAAGUUUCUUAUCACUAGAAUCUUGGCCUUCGUAUAAUAACACUUAAUUUUUCUGCUCCCUUUAAAAAUGAGUAGCAAAGGUAUUUUAUGGUCAGACUGGAAGCAGGGGUGAGUUAAACCUUUUGGUCCCCUGGUCGAAGGAGCCAGUCUCCUGUGUGCUGUGCCCAAGAGCAGGAAGCAGCAGAGCAUUCCUCCCUCCCCACCCUUUUCUGUAGGCUGCUUCAUGCUCUGGCAGCGCCUUCCAGCUUCAGCACACACACGCGAGUGUGUUGGAUGUGCUGCUGAUUGGUCAGAGAGCCGGGUGGCAACACCUCGUGAGAGAUGCAUUCAAAUCAAAUUCACAUUUGAAAUGGCAAAGUUGUGUUCAGCUUUGCUCUUUCUGUGUCAUCUACUGGAGAACACCUCUCUGUGUAGGAGUGAUACAGGUUUUGGUGCUGCUGAGUAAUAAUGGAAUUGGGGCACCCUGGGUAUCGGGCUGAAGUUCUUGUUCUUGAUCAACAGGCGUUUCUCUAGAAGACCUUAAUGGUAACAGCCUAAGAGCUGUUUUGUGAAAAGCUAGUAACAAAAAAGGAAAGAAUUCUAGGUGCCAGUCUUCAGCAUUUUCAGGUUCUUGUUCAGCUUUUGGGAUGGUGUUUGCAAUGGUAUUUGCACAAUUUCCAUGUUGGGAAACCAGAUAUUGAGGCAUGUCCAAAGGAGGGUAACAAAGCUGGUGAAGGGUCUGGAACACGUUAUGGGGAGGGGCUGAAUGAACUUGUUUAGUCUGGAGAAGAGGAGGCUAAGGGGAAACAUUACUGUGCUCUACAGGUCCCUGAAAGGACGUUGUGGUGAGGUGGGGGUUGGCUUCUUCUCCUAGGUAACAGUAAGAGGAUGAAAGGCAAUGGCUUUAAGUUGCACCAGAGGACGUUCAGGUUGGUUAUUAGGAAACAUUUAUUCUCAGAAUGAGUGGUGAGGUGGUACAGGCUGCCCAGGGAGGUGGCGAUGUCAUCAACCCUGGAGGUGUUCAAGAAAAGGGUAGAUUGUAGCACUGAGUGACGUGGUCUAGGGCAGUCACAGGCAUGAGUUGAUGGUUGGACUGGACGAUCUUAGGAGUCUUUCCAACCUUAAUGCUUCUGUGAUUCACUGCCAGCAGAAGAAACAUGUAGACCUGAUCUGACUAAACUUGAGUGACUGGAGGGGAGGAGGAGAUUAACCCAUCCCGUAGCUGUGAAUCAAUGGCCAUGCUUUCAGCCUGUGUAAAAUUGGUGUAUGGUCAUUCAUCUCUCUGUAACUAUACCAGCUUACCCCAAUGAGGAAAUCGUUUCUCCUUACUACUGGGUUUUUACUCAGAACUGAUGAUGGAGAAUUGCAGAUAAUUUUUGAAAAAUGUUUUUUCCAAAUACAGUUAAUUGUCCAUAUCAGCAGUAAUGACAUCUCUGUGAGAUAAAUGAGGUGACGAAGUCUCUGCUUUAUUACUAUGAAGAAAUGAUUUUUUGCUAGUUGGUUUGUUUCUGAUUCCCUUUCCUUUCCUUGGCAAAAGUUUAGGAGAACCCAUAAUUUCAGAAUGUGCAUGACUUUCCUUGUAAAACUUCACAAUUUCCAGCAGUUUAUACUGGUAGCUGGUGAGUGCUGAUGAUCAUUUCACCAACUGGUAUUUAUUCUGUUUCUAUCUGACAGACUGGUUAUUUGCAUCUCCCCUUAGCUUACAUGGUUUCAUAUAAUCUUUUUGGUGUUCUUACCCCUAGUGCUCAGAUAAUAUUUUUACUGGUAUCUGAGAGUACUGGUAAAGGUGCAAGUAAAAGUCUUUUGGGAGCACUAUUUUCUACAGGCAUGUCCAGAAAGCUUGUUACUUCUACUGUUUGAUCAUGUUUCUUCCCUCAUUUUUGUGUGUGUUGAAUUUGGGUCUCAGGGCGAGGGUGUAAUGGCAUUUGAAGUUGGGGCAGCAACCUUCUGAUUUACCUUUUAUGGGGCACUUGAAUAGGAUUCACCUGACCAGAUGUAAAUGAAAUACCUAGUUUUCUGUACUAGCUUCGUGGUUAGUGAAGACAAACAGGCACUCUCAAGCAUCUCACCAUCUUGAUGUGGGUGGCUGAAGGCAGAAUAAUUCCACCCUAGAAGUACACAUUUCUCACAGCUUGCUGUGAAGUGGUGCAACAUCGCUAAAUUGACCAUAGACUUCUCCUGUGUGGGUUAUAGUGACUUGAACCCCUCCUGAGUCUCCCUGCAGUCCUGGUUCUGUAAAGAGCUGCUCAGCUUCUUGAGUUAGAUGCAUGCUCCUCCACUGCCAGUUUUAUUUGAUUUAUCUUUUUUCUUGCUUCCUGGAUUGCAGCGGGAGGCAUUUUUAGAUCAACGGGCACUAAAAUUAGAAAUAACUCAGUGACACUUUUAUAGUAGCCGCAUGCAGGAGUGCUUGUUCUGUAGUAGUUUAACCUUCACGCUAUCAUAAAACAGCUGUAGAGUUGGUUUUGGUGUCAGGAUGAAAUAAAUUUAUAAUAACGUUUAGUUACCACAUCUCAUGAGUUUUACACAGCAAUUUUUGCCAAUAGGGUGUUGGGUUUUUUUUUUUUGCCUGACUUCAUAAGAAAUCAGAACCAAGAGAACUGACUCAAACCAAAAGUCUGUACUGUUCUUUUUUUUUUUUUUUUAGGUUUUUUUUUUGUUUUGUUUUGUUUUUUUAGUUUUGGUGAGAAUGGUGAUUGAAGUUGAAAGGGACCUCUGGGGCAUUCUUCUAGUCCAACCCCUGCUCAAGCAGGGCCAUCCGGAGCAGGUUUUGUCAGGAACACUGUGUAUAGUUGAUCUGGAUUAACAUAUGACAUGUAGUAUAUAAAGUACUUGUUUAUGCAGGCAGUUUUAAUCUGAUGUAGUGAAUGUAUCAGAUUUCCUGGGUCAUACAGCCUUGCGACCCUUCUGAAUCUGUUCAAUGUUGAUGGCUCUGGAAGCUCUAUCCCAAAUCCCUUCUUAGUUGCUUCCUUGUUAGCCUGUUUUGCUAGAUUUUUUUUUUUCUCCUUAAAUAUUCAUCUUCAAGAUUUGUGUGACUGACUUAAACAUAACUGUAAAUCUUAAGACAGUUACUAGCUCUCAUUGUGGUAGAAGGGCUUGGAAUAGUAAUCUGAUGGCACCAGCAGUGCUCAGAAACUGGUAAACAAAUGGAAUCAAAGCCCUUUUUUCUUUUCCUCUUGUGAUUUUUGUUGUAGGGUGGGGAUGAGUAAUUCAUUAUGCCUCCUUAUUUUCUUAAUGCUUGAAAUCGGCAAUAUUGCAUUGUAAUAAACCAGUAAAGAUGUUCUCCAUUAAUAUGACAUCCAGAUAGAAAGCCAAGUCUUUUCUCUUUCACGUGGGCAUAAGACCAGAGAAACUCCAAUUUAUUUGUUUACAAGGGUGGAAUAGAAUAAGCAAAUAGAAGCUACUUAUACUGCUACAGUGAUCUGUGCCUUUGCCACUUCAGGUGAAACCAGAGAUUUCCCAAUCCCAAAUGCUGUCUGGCCUAACCCAUGCGUUGUUAAUCUUAUUUCCAGGUCAGAAGGCUUGUGAAACUGCACUGGUAUAUGGAAAAAAACUACUUUUGGUAAGCUGUUGAGAAGGCAGUUUGAGUUAUGGAAGGAAGAGGUCUGAAAAGUGGCUCCCUGAUCUAAAAGAUGCCUCUGUUGCUUAGGGAGGGAGAAUUCACAAACAUGUGAUUCCAGGCAAGGGCAAAUCUGGAAUAAUCAGAAGAGGAUCUUUGCAUGCAGUCUUUCCCUGUGCAGUGUCUCUUAUCUCCCUGUUGAUGGACAGGGAUCUAAAUGAUGAUUUAGUAACAGAAAGAGAAUGUCAAACAUAUUCCAGUAUGUUCCUUCCACUCACUGCAGUGUGUUUGUGAACUCACCUUGCCAGGAUGUAUUCACCCUGAACAUUUUCAUGGGCUGAUGUGGGUUUGGCAACCAUGCACAUUUCUUUGAGGACUGCUGUUGUCUUCAUACCUCUACAGUGCACCCACAGAUCCUGAAGGUUGAGGUGGUGGCAGUGCAGGCUCCAUCUAAUUAGAUUCAGAUGUAGAAUUGUAAAAGACAGUUUUGUGCUCAUGUCAAAUUAAAGAAUAGUGCUUUAUUGUUUUCACAGACUCAAAGUUUGUGAGAACAGAAGAGGAUAUUCACAUGACACUAAUUUUAGGCAGCAUUUGUGAGAGGCUUAUCUUUCAGGCAUCUCCAGAGAGAGGACAGAGAACUAGUGAGGGCAGUAUCUCUCUUGCUGUAGAGGGAGUGUAGAGGACAGGCUUACAGUAAGUGCAAAUCUGUAGGCACCAUGAAUGCUUUUGGAUAAGCUAGUUUUCCCUCUUGCAUAACACAUCUAAUAGGAUGUCCCUGGCAUAUUUAUGGUUUGGAGUGGAACACAUCUUUUACAAAGACAUGUGGUUCAAUUGAAAAUAAUAAGGCAAUUUCCAGGCUCUCUAAAAUAAACAGGAGAUUCAUCACAUAUAAUAAUGUUGUUUGCAUCUCCCCUCCCUAUUUUUCUUUUCCUAGUAAAUACAAACAUAUUUUUCCUGGUUUUAAAGAAAAAAAGAGUGACCAUACUGUUUUAAAAAUAGGCACUGAAUUUUUAUGUAUGUGCAAACUGUGUAUUAAACACCUAAUAUUCCAGAAGAGGCCACUGUCUUGCAGAGUCAUGCCUUUCCAGCCUCAUAGUAAACUUAGCUCCGCAAUCUGAAUCUAAACUGAACUGUAAGUGGUCUAGAUAGUCAACAUGCAAGAUACUGCGUCUUUCAGCCAGUUGGCAUCCAGGAACAUGGAUGUGUUGCCACUUGCAGUGUAGUACUCAUCAUAAGUCUGAUCUGGUGUAAGUUUGACCAGAUUCACAACCAUGUGGUUGUGAAUUAGACUCUAAACCUGGCAGUUCGGCUCUUUCAAUCAAGUGUGUUCAAUCACUGUGUUUCCCAGUUGAGUGGCUGCUUUUUAAAUGACGUGGAAGCUCUCCUCUUUGCAAAAAUAAGUUUAAGUGGCAUAGAUGAGGACUUUUCUGAUGCCGUCACCAUCCAUGUGGCUGUGUAGUUAGUUGACUUCAGAGUCUGGAGUGAGUAUAUGAAGCCUUGUAUAAGCUGGGGUUAUUCUUGACUGCAUUCCUGACUGGAAACUGAGAAAGGCCCAUUAAGAAACUAAGAAUAGGCUUUUGUGGGGCAGGAAUGGCUGCUCUGCCUCCAGAGGAGUUGGGGCUCUUGCUGUUCAUGACAUGGAGAAAUGGGGGCUCGGCAAUUAGAAUAUCCUGCUGCAUGACCAGCCUGGUGAAGAGCUGGCAUAGGAGAACUGGCAGCCAAUGCAUUGUGCCAUCUUCUUGCCUAUGUUUAUAAAAUCUUGUUCCACUCUGACCUCUUCCUUCUGUCCUACCUGCCAGAAGGAUCAACAGAAGAGGUAAAUAACCUUUGAUACUUAAAGCUUUUGCUUGUUUUUCCAGGUAUGUCCCAGUAAAGGUUUAGUUAGCAAGAUCAGUGGAUCAGGAAGAUUGUCCCUCCCAGUUACUGUUUCUUCUUCUGAUUUUUCUGAAUUCUUCCCUCCCCCACUGGCAACAAGUUUUUCCUUUGUUUGAAUGAUCAAUUCACAUCUGGUAUGUGAUGGAAUGUUUUGGCCUGGUGUGUUCAGCAGAGCUGGCUUGGAUCUUCUAAGCUAUUCAGUGUGAUUCAUUGUCCUACAGAUAAUGACAUGGGCCAGGUGCCUUCUGCCAUUACAAGGAAGCAUACUGGGGACUCCAGUUUGCUGUCCCUACCAUUAUGGGGGAGAUGUGCCUGUAUGAGAGGACAACCUUUUAGCAGGGUCAGGAGCCUCCAGCUUGGCUUUCUAGAACUCUGGUAAAGGCAGUAGAGGCCCUGGAGCUCAUGAUCUUUUUGCCAUGACUUUUUGCCUGCAGCUCUAUCUAGACAGUAUCUGCUUUCCCAGUAGUUGGAGCUGGUCCAUGUGUCCCUUUUCUCUGUUUGUUGCCUGCCGGUUCAGGAUGGUUCAGAGAUAUAAGUGCAAGGGUAUGUGUUGUAUUUGGUGGUAAGCAUGUGUGAGCUUUAUGCACCAGGGAAGUAUUUGUAGCCUGAAAAUGUCUGGGUAUGAGUGGGUACAGAGGGAGUGCUUUUCCAGUUUUGUGAACCAUAUAUAGUUUUAAGUGUCGUAUUAUGCAAGAACCUGUCAUCACUUUUUGUGUCAUAGGCUCUCCAGCAAUGUUUUCCAUGUGCAAUACUGAUGCUCCCACAUGCCUUUUCCCCCUUGUUUCACAGAAAACUGCAUUCAUUCUGCUUUGCCUUCUUCAGCUGUCAACGCCCUGACACUGAUUCAGCUCUUCAUCUUUCAUAUCCCGGGACAGAGAAUAAACAAUACGUAGCCAGCUUCAGUGCAAGCAUUGAAAAACUGGAAAAUGAGGACUUUCUGAAAAAUAAAACCUUCGUGAACUGUUCUCCAGUCUGGGUUCUGAAAGAGGCAACAACAGAAGAGUUCCCUCCUCUGGGAAGAGGUCUCCCAGGGCAGUUCCCGGCCGAGCAGUGCCAUCUGCCGAAAGUGGAAAGCACAGCCCGGGAGCUGCGGGUCUGGAAGCGCUGCUCCUCCAGCGCUGCUAAAUGCUCUUUGUUUUGAGUUUACUUGAGGUUUGGGAUUCGAACUCUUCUGGUGCAGUUCCUAAGAACAGCAGUACUGCUGAGACAAGAAGUUUCUUUCUGUUGCUGGUAGUGAAAUCUGCUCUCAAAGAGCCUCUAGGCUGUUGGGAAACUGUCACCUGCUCUGUUCUUUGUCUCAUACUGACAAAGCAGCCUUGUUUUAGUUGAGAUGUAUAAUUUGCUCUUUCCAAUCAAGUGUGCUUAAAUAUUGAAUUCAGAAAAUGGAGUCUUUCUGCUUCGUUAAAGGAUUAAUAAGGCACUGAGCUCUGAAUGGACUGGUGGGAAAAACACCCUCAGGAUUCACUGAGGAGAAGGAAAUAAAACAGCAACUUUCCAGUAAGACAAGGCAUCAGAUGAGCUGUGCACUCCAAACUCUCUGGAGCAUGUUGGGUGAUUUUGUUCUCUACAGUAUAAUUUUCAUAUUGUAUUCUCAAGUCACAAAAGCUGUAAGUGUUUCUGUGUGGCCAGCAAAGCUAACCUUUCAAUUUAUGGUAUGAUGCUCCUUUAUCUUUGACGGGAAAAAAAAAAAAAAAAGGCUGCAGGGAACUUGAUGUUUGCUUUUUAAUGAGUCGGUUGUCACAAAGUAGAGAGAGACCUUGGGAAUGCCUCUGUGUGCAUUGCACUGGGCAGAGGGGAGCUAGAAGCCAGGGCUGGGCUUUUCCUUCCCUCUUUGACCCCCUCCGUGCGUGAAUUCUCCCCUCAGUCCAAAUUUCUGCCCUAUAAGUCUUUAUCAUCCUGUUUCACUUCACUGACGUGAGAAAGCAGCAUCAAGGGAGGAUCAGGCUGGGUGUUAGGAAAAGAUUCUUGACCAGAGGGUGGUCGGCCACAGGAGUGGGCUCCCCAGGGCAGUGUUCAUGGCCCCAGGCUGUCGGAGAUCAAGGAGCGUUUGGACAAGGCUAUCCCCGCUCGGGACAUCUCUUGGCUGACGCUGUCCUCCCGAGACCCGACUCCUCCAGCCGCUCUCCCCGCAGGAGCCGCCCGUCAGCGAGGCGGUGUGGGGGCGCUGUCUGUGGUGCUGAAGCGGUGCGCGGAUUCGACUUGCUCCCCAUCCGCAGCCCCCUAAAGCCCAACCAACAUUAAAAGGCGGCAGAGUUAUUAUUAUUGUUUUACAUUCUGCGGCUUAAAUAUAUCUAGAGAGAGGCCACUGAAAUAGUAGUAGAAGCACAGAUGCAUAGCACAAGCAGAACUAUAAUGUGACUGGGUGGACAUGUUUCAUGGAGGUGAGGGUGGCUGGGGCUUUGCAUGAGAAACACUCAGGCAAGUUAGUGAGGGUUAAACUGGUAUGAUUAGGGUGACAAGGAAUUAAGCAGGAGACCAUGGAUUGCAUACUGUCUCUCUUUAUGACUUGCAAAUUAGAAUGGAAAUUAAAAAGCUGGAAGACAGAGAUCCCCACGCCUCGCAGACACGGGCAACUGAGCAAAAGAUUGUCUGCAACUGUCUCUCAUUAAAUGGUGUCAGGCUUCCUUCCCCUGACCUUCACAGGUUGUUUACAGAAAGAGUUCUGAUCUCCUCUUGGAGAGCGAGGUCACAGGGAGGCAGGGGACUGA